UACAGAGGUCCCAAGCGUUGUUCGGAUUCACUGGGCGUAAAGGGUGCGUAGGCGGUCGGGUAAGUCUGGCGUGAAAUCCCCAAGCCUAACUUGGAAACUGCGUUGGAUACUAUCCGGCUCGAGGAAUGGAGGGGAGACUGGAAUACUUGGUGUAGCAGUGAAAUGCGUAGAUAUCAAGUGGAACACCAGUGGCGAAGGCGAGUCUCUGGACAUUUCCUGACGCUGAGGCACGAAAGCCAGGGGAGCAAACGGG
rnacentral:rRNA from 1 species